AUGAAUGAGUCCUGAAGAAGGAAUCUGAAAGCUGUUUGGGCACAUGGAAUGGUCUCACUCUAUCACCCAGGCAACCAGGCUGGAAUGCAGAAGUAUGGUCAUUGCUCAUUUCAGUCUCAAGCUCCUGGGCUCAAAGGAUCCUCCUACCUCAGCCUCAAGGUAACUGGACUACAGGCACACACCACCACACCUAGCUAAUUAUUUAUUUUUUUAGAGACAGGAUCUGGCUUUGUUGCCCAGUCUGGUCUCAAACUGCUGGCCUCAAGUGAUUCUCCUACCUCAGCCUCCUAAAUUGUUGGGAUUACAGGCAUGAGCCACUGCAUCCAGCCUAUGAUCCAUCUUGAAUUAAUUAUAUAUGUAUAUAUAUUUGUUUUAUUGAGAUAUAAAUCACAUACCAUAAUAUUCACCACUUUAAAUUACAUAUUUUAUUGGUCUUUAAUAUAUUCAUAAAGUUGUGCAACCAUCACCACUAUCUAAUUCUAGGGCAUUUUAUUCCCAUGCUCAUUUGCUGGGAUUCCUAGUUCCUCCUCCUCUCAGCCCUAAGCAACUAUUUUAUUUUGUCUCUGUAGAUUCUUUCACUUAGCAUAAUAGUUUCAAGAUUCAUCUAUUAUGUAGCAUGCAUCAGUACUUCAUGACUUUUUAUG
rnacentral:lncRNA from 1 species